GCUCCCAGACCUGAAACCAUCCCAGGAGGGGGGUGAUGCUCCCUGAAGUUCCCUGUGCACGGAUGAGCACUGAGCACGUCCUUGCUCCCACCUUCCUCGGCUUCCUGACCGAGACCUGGAAUGGCUGGUCUCCUAGACCCAGCUUCCUCCUGCCUCCACCACCUCCACCCCAUCUCAGAUCCAGCUCACUUCCAGUGAGGCCCACUCUGCUCCUGCUCCUGUCACGUCCAUGCCCUCAUUUCACCUGGGGGACAGCUCAAAGGCUUACAGAGCAGGCAGCACAGUCCACCGUGACCACCGGGACAGGACCAGACCAGGAGGAGAGGAUGGAAGUGGGGACGUGCGUGGGCUUCUGUGUCACCUUGCUCUGACUGCGGCUCCAAAUCAUCACGGGCAAGGUGCUGCCACAGAAGGAGUGAACUCGUCAGCCAGGAGGUAACGCUGGAGCAAGGCUGUGGGAAGGACAGGCUGGAAAAGAUGGGCAAGCCCGAGGGAGACAGCGUUCUCUGCAGACGAGAUGAAGAUGUGGCAGUGAGACCCGGGUGGCAUGGCCCGAGCCAAGUGUGGAUGCAGCAGGGACUUGCAUGGACAGGGGACCCUGCGUGUACAAGGACCAUGUCUAAAACUGAACUGCCCCCAAAACCUGCUUCUUCCCUCCAUGGCAUGCCCCAUCUCAGUGAGGAUGUGACCACCACCCUGACACACAGACAGCGUCCCAGGCAUGGGUGCCCCACAAGCUGCCCCCUACCUUGUCCCAUCCAUUGCCACAGCCCACACUUCUGCCUUCCCCAGAAAGCCUCUGGAGCCCACCCUACUCCGCUCCUCCUUGCCCCCAGCCCCGGGCCCGCUCAGGCGCCUUCCUGAAGCGGAUCUGGAUCAAUGUCCAGUCUCCCCUCCAGACUCCUGGCCUCCAGUUUCCAAAGUGGCCUCAAAUGGAUCCUGUCCCUCAUUUCCUGAACCCCUCCCCCAGCUUCCCCACCACUCCAGUCUUGGUUGAAUCUCAGCCUCCUGUCAGGAAAAAAGCUCAGACGAUCAAGCCAACAUAUGCAUUAAUUUAUUUAUAAAUUAGACACAUAUGCCACCAUACAAAUAAUUGGAUAAAUUAUAAAGUAUAA